CUGUGUUCUGGGCUGGCCUUUUCCUCUCCCAGGUGCGCUUCCCUGCUUGAUCUGUGUACCCUGCUCUUUCUCCUUCAUUCCGCAGCCUCCUUUGCCCUGUGACCUGCAGGUACUGGACGGUCCCUAGAGAGGAUACCGGGACGCUCCUGAAGCCGCGAGAUGAGCCACCAUCACUCAUGUUCUUGAAUGGGAACUGCCUGGAGACCCUGAAGAAGAAGGAGCCUGAAGGAGGAAGGAGGAGGCUGAGCCAUCCCGGGAACAUGGGCUGGAUGAGGCCAAGCCAGGAGACGACACCACCAGAUAGAAGUCACCAUUCAGGAUUUGGACUUUUCUGUGGAGAUCCUGGCCCCGAGAUCGAACCCUUCUCCCUGUGUUCCCGCAGGAGAUGGUGCUGGAGAUCCACCAGCUGUUCAUGGACCAUGAAUACCCAUGUCACCACAUCACUUCUCACUGCACCUGGGUGGCAGCACACUGGACCACGUCUCAGAGCUGCGCAGCAUGGCAGGGCUGCAGGCGGGCUUGCUGCUCCACGUGGUGGAAGAGCCCUGCACAAUGCACAAGGCCCACGGUGAUGAGUGCCACAUUUGAGACUGCUCAGGAGCCUGGACCCAGCUGAUGCAGCUCCUUGUCCUUCCUGAGCGUCUUCACUGACAGUGGCCUGAGAGCCCCUGAAAGUGCUCACCGUGAGCGGCUGGUACCUGUCCCCUGGGAACUGCAAGAUGCACAGGACCUUGUGUACCUGUUUGUGAUCACAGCCGAGGACCAGCGAGGUAGCAUUACCACAUCCACACAGGGCUUUUACCAUAACUGCCCCAGUACUGGAACGAGGAGCUGCAGAUGAUGAGGGACCUACCCAACAAGAACCAACCUGAGCAGCUGCUUCAAGAAAAAGCCAUGUUCAAGGUGCCUGAAUCCCCUGGUAAGUGAGUGACAGCCUCACAGCCUCAGGCCCACCUGGCUCCUGCUGGAAGGUUUUCUUGUGCUCGGGAGAGAAGUGAGGGAAGCCGGCAGUCCCAGCCCUGUCAGGUGCCCUGAAGGCCCGUCAGGUUUGCCCUGCAAGGCCUUCUAGCAUUCUGCUUCCUGGGAGACCAUCCCCCACCUUUCUCCGGCCUCUGAGACUUUGAGUCCUUGGGAGGAGAAGGCCCUCCUUGCUAUCUGGGCUGAGUGGCCAGGGCCAUCCAGCUUCCCACCCUCCACUGACUGCCAUGGGGCCCUCCCCUGAGCACAUGGUGCCCAACUGUAGCCCUUCUAGGGCAGGGGCUCAUUGGCAGCACUUGCAGCUUGCUGGCACUUAAAAGUCAUUAGUGCGGUUACUGAGAGAAAUGAGGAAAAAAUAAUUGUUAAAAAAAAAAAAAAA
rnacentral:lncRNA from 1 species